AUUGCUGGGUAGCUAAAUGCGGAAGAGAUAAGUGCUGAAAGCAUCUAAGCACGAAACUUGCCAAGAGAUGAGUCAUCCCUGACUUUAAGUCAGUAAGGGUUGUUGUAGACUACGACGUAGAUAGGUUGGGUGUGUAAGUGUAGUGAUACAUUGAGCUAACCAAUACUAAUUGCCCGAGAGGCUUAACCAUA
rnacentral:rRNA from 1 species